rnacentral:lncRNA from 12 species
AAAAACAACCUCUGAACCUGCUGAGUUAGGUUGUUUUCAGGAGGAGUUAGCAGUCAGUCGGCCAGGGUUAGGAGCAAACUGAGGUCCUUGCUGGUUUAAAGCAGACCCUAAAACAUCCUGAAUCCAAGGCUGUGUGCAACACCUGACCAGCGACCGCCUUUCACGUCCCCGCCGAAUUAAAGACAAGAUGCCGACGUGUCCUGCGAGGCUGCCUCAGCCCACAGGUAACUGACACUGCCUCUUCCUCCGAGCGGCUCCGGCCCCUCUCGCUUCUCCAUCUUCCUACCUUCCCUGCCAUCUGUUCCCGCUGCUCCCGCAGCCUCCCCGCUCUCCUCCCGCCAGGGCCUGUCUGAGCAGACGGCUACCAGAGCCUCUGAUGAGGUAGGCCUCAGGCCCCUCCAUCACUCCUCGCCACGAGGAAAGCACCAGCUGUCUGGCUUCAUUUGCAUUUUCUCUCCAAAAUAAUGAAAUUAGCCAUGAGUAUCCUGAGGUGAUGCGAGACGCAAAUUUAGGCUGGAUGUGUCAGCGUGUGCCGGGGAGGGAGAGGGAAGGUCACGGAGGAUGCUCGCGGCAUUGAAACGGAGGGCAAGGCCUCUGCAGCCGCUGCCGCCCGGCAGAGAGAGGCCUGACGGGCCUGCCUCUCCUGCCCUCAGCCCACAGCGCCAGCUCGGCGGGCCGGGCGUCCGGCCCCCGUCCCUGCAGGCACCCGCAGGGAACAUGAGAGUGGCCGGGCUCCCCGGGGCCAGCAGCCAGCUCAGGGCGCGGCCGGGCGCCGCUGCAGCGAGCAGGAGCCGUGCCAUGGCCGCGGCCGGCCGGGCCGCCCAGCGCGCCUUCUCCGCCGCGCGGCUCUUCCUGAUUAUCUCCGUGUUUGCUCAGUCGGGGCUCGUCCCAGGCGCUGCUCAGCCAUCCUCCCCUCUGCUCCGCAUUCCUGAUCGUGUUUCUGAGUAUUUGCUGAAGUGUUUCACGCAGUACCGCAAACACAUCUGA